rnacentral:rRNA from 1 species
UACGAAGGGGGCUAGCGUUGCUCGGAUUUACUGGGCGUAAAGGGCGCGUAGGCGGAUGUUUAAGUCGGGGGUGAAAGCCCGGGGCUCAACCUCGGAAUUGCCUUCGAUACUGGACAUCUUGAGUACGGGAGAGGUGAGUGGAACUCCGAGUGUAGAGGUGAAAUUCGUAGAUAUUCGGAAGAACACCAGUGGCGAAAGCGACUUACUGGACACAUAUUGACGCUGAGGUGCGAAAGCGUGGGGAGCAAACAGG